AUACGAGGGGGGCUAGCGUUGUCCGGAUUUAUUGGGUGUAAAGGGCUCGUAGGCGGGCCGAUCAGUCGGAACUUAAAUCCCACGGCUUAACCGUGGAUCUGGUUUCGAUACUGUCGGUCUUGAGUUCGGUAGAGGAAAGCGGAAUUCUCGGUGUAGCGGUGGAAUGCGUAGAUAUCGAGAGGAACACCAAUGGCGAAGGCAGCUUUCUGGACAAAUACUGACGCUCAGGUGCGAAAGCGUGGGGAGCAAACAGGAUUAGAAACCCCGGUAGUCC
rnacentral:rRNA from 1 species